GUCUUCGUGGCUCAGUUGGCUAGAGCGUUGGUCUCAUAUUCGUAUGACUCAGUACUAUACUGGGAUAUCCAAAGGUCGUGAGUUCGAGCCUCACCGAGGACA